rnacentral:rRNA from 1 species
UACGAAGGGGGCUAGCGUUGCUCGGAAUCACUGGGCGUAAAGCGCACGUAGGCGGAUUUCUAAGUCAGGGGUGAAAUCCUGGAGCUCAACUCCAGAACUGCCUUUGAUACUGGGAAUCUCGAGUCCGGGAGAGGUGAGUGGAACUGCGAGUGUAGAGGUGAAAUUCGUAGAUAUUCGGAAGAACACCAGUGGCGAAGGCGACUUACUGGACGAUUGUUGACGCUGAGGUGCGAAAGCGUGGGGAGCAAACAGG